rnacentral:rRNA from 1 species
GAUGAACGCUGGCGGCGUGCCUAAUACAUGCAAGUCGAGCGAAUGGAUUAAGAGCUUGCUCUUAUGAAGUUAGCGGCGGACGGGUGAGUAACACGUGGGUAACCUGCCCAUAAGACUGGGAUAACUCCGGGAAACCGGGGCUAAUACCGGAUAACAUUUUGAACCGCAUGGUUCGAAAUUGAAAGGCGGCUUCGGCUGUCACUUAUGGAUGGACCCGCGUCGCAUUAGCUAGUUGGUGAGGUAACGGCGCAGCAAGGCAACGAUGCGUAGCCGACCUGAGAGGGUGGUCGGCCAAAUUGGGACUGAGACACGGCCCAGACUCCUACGGGAGGCAGCAGUAGGGAAUCUUCCGAAAUGGACGAAAGUCUGACGGAGCAACGCGGCGUGAGUGGUGAAGGCUUUCGGGUCGUAAAACUCUGUUGUUAGGGAAGAACAAGGGCUAGUUGAAUAAGCUGGCACCUUGACGGUACCUAACCAGAAAGCCACGGCUAACUACGUGCCAGCAGCCGCAGUAA